GACGAACGCCGGCGGCGUGCUUAACACAUGCAAGUCGAACGGAAAGGCCCUGCUUUUGUGGGGUGCUCGAGUGGCGAAAGGGUGAGUAACACGUGAGUAACCUGCCCUUGACUUUGGGAUAACUUCAGGAAACUGGGGCUAAUACCGGAUAGGAGCUCCUGCUGCAUGGUGGGGGGUGGAAAGUUUCGGCGGUUGGGGAUGGACUCGCGGCUUAUCAGCUUGUUGGUGGGGUAGUGGCUUACCAAGGCUUUGACGGGUAGCCGGCCUGAGAGGGUGACCGGCCACAUUGGGACUGAGAUACGGCCCAGACUCCUACGGGAGGCAGCAGUGGGGAAUAUUGCACAAUGGGCGGAAGCCUGAUGCAGCAACGCCGCGUGCGGGAUGACGGCCUUCGGGUUGUAAACCGCUUUCGCCUGUGACGAAGCGUGAGUGACGGUAAUGGGUAAAGAAGCACCGGCUAACUACGUG
rnacentral:rRNA from 1 species